AUGGCGGCCAGCCCGGCGCCACCGCCCAGCCCGGCCGCCGCCCGGGACCCGCGGGUGCAGUGCUGCUCGCGGCGCGGGCUGGGCGAGGUGAUGGCGCUCUGCGCGCCCUUCGUGCGGGCCCUGGCCCAGGGGCAGCCGGGCGGUGACGCCGCCGUGGGGGACGCGCUCGGGAGCUUCGAAACGGCGGUGCGGGAGAACGUCACCAUCAACGGGCAGCCCUGGGAGGUGACUCUGGAUGACUCGCUGCUGCAGAGUGGUUCCAACAUUAAAAUUCUUGAAGAUCAGUUUGAUGAACUAAUAGUAGAGACAGCAGCUAAGCGUAAGCAGUGGCCUAAAAAGAUACUGGUACAUGCUGUCCAAACCAUGAAAGCAGAGCAAGAAAUGUUGAAGCUCUACCAGCCUGUCGUAACACCAGAAAAGAUAAGAUCACAGCCUUCUCAAGAUGCUUACAUCGCAGAUCUGAAGCAGGUGACAGAAACGGCAUCCAAACAGAUUAGUGGAACAAUGAAGUCUCUCCCAGUGCUAAUAGAAAGAGCAGAAGGUUUUUCCCAAGCGUUAACUUGGCAACCAAUCUUGGAACUCUGCAAGCUGCGGCAUGAAGUCUUUGCUGGCUGCAAGGCAAAGGAGGAUAAUAACGUCCAAAGUUUUGUAUCGCCAGGAGAAGUCACACCAACAGACACUCUUACCAGUAAAAAUCCCUAUGUUUUGCUAAAAAGAAAAAAAGUUGCAGAUCCAUCGGAAAGAAGACGCUACCCACUUCGACAGAGGAAGAUUACUUUCAGGACAUGAACUUCUCAUUUAGUAUUUUCAGGUUGGAAUAUGCAUUGUACUCCUGUUCGGUGCUUUCAGUCUUUUUUUCUUAAAACUUUGCCUCCUCUCCAAUUCAGUGCUGUACAUGGAAGCUAAUUAUUUAGCCUUCGAUACUUCUAAAUAUUUCUGUUUUUACUGGCAUACUGAUGGUAUAUGAGCCUACACAUACCAGUAGCAUCCAAUAUUCAGCAAAUGUAUUUGGUGAUUAACUCUCAUUUUUUGUUUUUUACAGCAUUUAGCUUGAGUUCUCAUGCUUCUCAGAGUUUGUGCGCAUGCUUUAUGUAUGUGGGCGGUCUUUUAGUAAACCACUAAGUGCUAAUUUACAUUAAGCAUGUCUCUGAAGAGGCUGGAGAGUGUCUGGUUCUCCUAAUGCACCCUCAUUUAUUACCAAGUCAAGUGGCUAUUUUUUUAAUAAUUAAAAAAGAAAUUCACAUUGGAACAUGUUGAAAACAUCAGAUUUGAUACAGUGUUAUGGUUUUUAGAAAAUCCAUGCACAAAUCUGACAUUGGUCCCUGCUAUUCCAUUUUUCCUGAAUUUGGGUCAGCUGGGCUUAUUUAUAGUCGUGUUUGUUCAGACUUGGAUUUUUAGUAAUUGUAUGUGUUUACUUACAGUGUGCUUUUCUGAACAAGGAUUCGACCAUCCACAUCUUACCAUCUCUUGUUUCAUUUCAUGUAAUCCGAUUAUGCAGUCUGGGGGUUUCCUGGACAACAUUGCUACAUAUUACAAGAUCUUGACUGGGUCAUGUAUGCAUUUGUGAUGUUUGACUAAACUUUAAAGAUCAGUAUAGGCUGCCAGUAAAUGAUAUGAAGUUGAACUAGCUGCCUUUUUUUUUUUUCCCUUUACACAUUAGUACCUAGACGAUUGCACAGUAUUACUAAAUUGAGCCUUGUGUCUUAACCAUUCAUAACUCUGGUUUAUCGUUGCAUGUGCGUGCAGUAAAUACUUAUGUAAUGUAUUUCUCACACAGAAAAUGGAGGGGCUUUUUAGAAGCUUUAUUAAUGCAAUGGACUGUUGUAAGAAGAUAGGUCCAACUUAAUGUCUAAGAGACUGAAAAUUUUCAAGAAAAUGUGACAGAUUUUAGCAUCGUUUAUUUUGUAAAGGUGGUGACUGAACAGUGAAUGUACUUCAGAAGACAUCUGUGUCAAAUUUUGGCUCGAGUAACUGAAGUGCUUCCAUUUACUGCCUUUGAACUCACAACUGUUAUUAAUCCCAGGGCUACAAAGCAUCUAAUGUAAGAGAGGACAGGAUGUGAGAGGGACGGGAGCUGCAAAGCCGUGGAACGUGUGACUGGAACGGUUGUGUUGAAAAUCCCAACUGUGGCUUGCUUCACCAGGAUUCACUGAUACUCUCUGAGUGUUCCUAGACUUAAGAUGAGCCCUGCAAAGUUUCACAUGGCUACCAUUAUAGUAUUUAAGUGUUUACUGUGUUAAUGGGAAGAUUUCCCGUUCUUCUCUGCAAAUAAUGAUAGACAAGUACAGAAAAUAGCUAGGAACAGGCACAUCUCUUUGAAGAGGUCCUGUCAAAAAUGGCCAAGGUAGCACAAAUGCCUUGGGAAAUAAGGAGAGAGAGCGCUAUGGAUUAAGACUUAAUAAGCCAAUUAAUGAAUUCACCGUACAGUGCGUGUUAGCGUUAAGAGAUUGCGGGGUAGCUGGUCUGCCCAGGGUCUGAAGGAAGGGGGAAUGGAUGCCCUGAGCUAGGGCAGUUGGGCCUUGUUCCGUAGCCCUUGUUUCAACUACAGCUGGGUGGGAAAAGAAAACAAAUGCAUCUGGCAAUGCUGGCCAAAUAAACAGUGUAAAGGAGGAUAAAGAAAACAAGAUUCCAAGUGCAGCAGGUAAACUAUGAAUUCACAAAUCUUUAAUGGCUGCUUUUGGCCAAGCAGCAAUGGAAGGUGUCAGAUGACCUCCCUUUAAGUGCAAGUUCUGUGAUGAGCUAAACUCAACACAUGAAUGUUCAGCUGUUUUUCAGAUUAUUAUUUAAAAACUCUUCAGUAAGUGAUACCUGCAGCUGUCUGUGCGUGGGAUCUGUUCUUCCCAGAAAUACAUGAAAUACCUUGGUUUUCCCAUUCUCGUAGCCUUUUGUCCUUCAGUUAACUUUUCAUAGAAAUCAGCAGUGUUAUGCAAGACAAGUGUCUUAAGUGUCUUCUACUGAAAUGUCACAACAUCCAAACUUCUUAUUUUUAACUUGGGGCGAAUUGGUAUUGCAUCAAGAAAUGUCUGGUAGUUUUUCUUUAUAUAGCCUUUGAAUUUUGUAAGACAGCUCAAUUGUGACGGAUACUUGGGAACAUGUGCAAGCCAAGCUUGAAUUUCUUGGCUUUUUGGGGUGAGAUGGAACAUCUCACUGCUCGUUAGCAUGUACCGUCAGCAACGUGCAUGUCACUCGAGGGUGGGCCACCCCUAUGCAAGAAAAACUUGCAAAUUGGAGCAGUCUGUACACAUACUGUUGCUGCAUGUAGUUUCUGAACAAAGGGGAUUACGAACAGCAUGCAGGGAAGCUCCUCUUCUAGAAAUCUUCACGUGGACACCGAUGUCUGGAAGCUUGGGUGCGCUGGUGCUCUGAAGCCCAGUUCUGACACAUACCAUUCUUCAGAAGGGCCGUACUGUGCUAAGCUGCGUACAGCGACUAGUUGCAUGUGUGUAGGCUGCUUCAGUGCAGACGAAAAUAACAGAUAAACUGCCAUUAUAAAAUGUAAACUCA